GGUAGAGUAUGGAAAAGGAGUUGUGAGUUCAAAGGUCAUGAGUUCAAAUCUCACAUUUCUCACUUAUAAAUUAUUUUUUCUCUUUUAUUUGUUUUUCCUUUAUUUCUAACUUUUCUAUUAUUUUCAAAACUAUAAAAAAUCACACAUUUGCAUUUUUUUGAUUUUUGAUUAUUAAUUUUCAUAUUUGAAAAAUAUGUAUUUUUAAAAAGAGAUUAAUUACUAUACACUGUCAGUGUAAAAAGUUU
rnacentral:lncRNA from 1 species